UGAAGGCCUUCGGGUUGUAAACCUCUUUCAGUAGGGAAGAAGCGAAAGUGACGGUACCUGCAGAAGAAGCGCCGGCUAACUACGUGCCAGCAGCCGCGGUAAUACGUAGGGCGCAAGCGUUAUCCGGAAUUAUUGGGCGUAAAGAGCUCGUAGGCGGUUUGUCGCGUCUGCCGUGAAAGUCCGGGGCUUAACCCCGGAUCUGCGGUGGGUACGGGCAGACUAGAGUGAUGUAGGGGAGACUGGAAUUCCUGGUGUAGCGGUGAAAUGCGCAGAUAUCAGGAGGAACACCGAUGGCGAAGGCAGGUCUCUGGGCAUUAACUGACGCUGAGGAGCGAAAGCAUGGGGAGCGAACAGGAUUAGAUACCCUGGUAGUCCAUGCCGUAAACGUUGGGCACUAGGUGUGGGGGACAUUCCACGUUUUCCGCGCCGUAGCUAACGCA
rnacentral:rRNA from 2 species